rnacentral:sRNA from 1 species
GCCAGGUGCAGUGGCGCACACCUGUAAUCCCAGCGGCUGGGGGAGGCUGAGGCAGGAGGAUGGCGAGUUCAAAGCCAGCCCCAGCAACAGCGAAGUGCCAAGCAACUCAGUGAGACCCUGUCUCUA